rnacentral:rRNA from 1 species
UUUCCUGCGGAAUAGCUCCGGGAAACUGGAAUUAAUACCGCAUACGCCCUACGGGGGAAAGAUUUAUCGGGGAAGGAUUGGCCCGCGUUGGAUUAGCUAGUUGGUGGGGUAAAGGCCUACCAAGGCGACGAUCCAUAGCUGGUCUGAGAGGAUGAUCAGCCACAUUGGGACUGAGACACGGCCCAAACUCCUACGGGAGGCAGCAGUGGGGAAUAUUGGACAAUGGGCGCAAGCCUGAUCCAGCCAUGCCGCGUGAGUGAUGAAGGCCUUAGGGUUGUAAAGCUCUUUCACCGGAGAAGAUAAUGACGGUAUCCGGAGAAGAAGCCCCGGCUAACUUCGUGCCAGCAGCCGCGGUAAUACGAAGGGGGCUAGCGUUGUUCGGAAUUACUGGGCGUAAAGCGCACGUAGGCGGAUAUUUAAGUCAGGGGUGAAAUCCCAGAGCUCAACUCUGGAACUGCCUUUGAUACUGGGUAUCUUGAGUAUGGAAGAGGUAAGUGGAAUUCCGAGU